rnacentral:rRNA from 1 species
CCUACGGGAGGCAGCAGUGGGGAAUAUUGCACAAUGGGGGAAACCCUGAUGCAGCGACGCCGCGUGAGUGAAGAAGUAAUUCGUUACGUAAAGCUCUAUCAGCAGGGAAGAAACACUGACCUUACGGUCAGCAGACGGUACCUGAGUAAGAAGCCCCGGCUAACUACGUGCCAGCAGCCGCGGUAAUACGUAGGGGGCAAGCGUUAUCCGGAUUUAUUGGGUUUAAAGGGUGCGUAGGCGGAAUGCCAAGUCAGCGGUAAAAUCGCGGGGCUCAACCUCGCUCCGCCGUUGAAACUGGCGUUCUGGAGUGGGCGAGAAGUAUGCGGAAUGCGUGGUGUAGCGGUGAAAUGCAUAGAUAUCACGCAGAACUCCGAUUGCGAAGGCAGCAUACCGGCGCCCAACUGACGCUGAAGCACGAAAGCGUGGGUAUCGAACAGGAUUAGAUACCCCAGUAGUC